GAUGAAGAACGCAGCGAAACGCGAUAAGUAAUGUGAAUUGCAGAAUUCAGUGAAUCAUCGAAUCUUUGAACGCACAUUGCGCCCCUUGGUAUUCCGAGGGGCAUGCCUGUUCGAGCGUCAUUACACCACUCAAGCUAUGCUUGGUAUUGGGCGUCGUCCUUAGUUGGGCGCGCCUUAAAGACCUCGGCGAGGCCACUCCGGCUUUAGGCGUAGUAGAAUUUAUUCGAACGUCUGUCAAAGGAGAGGAACUCUGCCGACUGAAACCUUUAUUUUUCUAGGUUGACCUCGGAUCAGGUAGGGAUACCCGCUGAACUUAAGCAUAUCAAUAAGCGGAGGA
rnacentral:misc_RNA from 1 species